rnacentral:RNase_P_RNA from 1 species
GUGGAAGGCUGGACGGCCGCUCUCGGGGGUGCGCCUCCGGGAGAGGAAAGUCCGGACUCGCUGAAGCGCCGGUGCCGGGUAACGCCCGGGCAGGGCAACCUGACGGAUAGCGCCACAGAAAACAAACUGCCCGGUCCUCGGAUCAGGGAAAGGUGAAACGGUGGGGUAAGAGCCCACCGCGGCCCUGGCAACAGGGCCGGCAUGGCAAGCCCCACCGGGAGCAAUGCCAAAUAGGGAUGCCGCGCGGGCUGAUCCUUUCGGGGAUAUCGCCGCAGGGCCGCUUCAGCCCCAGGCAUCCGGGUUGGCAGCACGAGCCGCCGGGCGACCGGUGGCCAAGAUGAAUGGUCGUCGAUCGGUGGGGGAACCCGCCGUGAACAGAAUCCGGCUUACAGGCCUUCCACGCCU